AAAAGUGAGAAUUUGGAUAUACACUGCAAAAUUGGCAUGCUUCAUUAAUAUUGCAAAAAGUACCGGUCGGAUACAAAGAUAAUUAUAGUUCUCGGGCAACCAAAAGAGUAGAAUAAUAAAUAAAUCAGACCUUCCUCUUCCCAGCCUUAAAAACCUCAACAUGCCAGUAAACGUUUCAGAUUGAUGAAAAAAUCGAUGAACCGCUCUUAAUCUGAAUAUUUCAUACCUCUUCUAGCUUCUUACUGCCCCGUGAACCUAAGUUGGGGUGAUGCCUGGUCUGUCUUUCCAGUGCCACCAGUUCUUGAAUCGUGGUCGGAGCUUCCUCCACCCACCAGGCAUCCCGUUUUCGACUGAAUCUUUCUCUAGCCAAUAGCUUCUUUAUCACCACCGUGGAGUCACCUUCGACCUCCAUAGACUAGAAGCCUGUUUCUUGAGCAAAUCUGAGGGCUUGGAUGCUCGCCAAGGCCUCUGCUAUCAACACAACUACUGCAUCCCCAGCGUACCAACAUCGGAAGUGAAAAUACUACACUAAAUAUAUGAAUUAAGAUCAAGAAAAACGGAGUCCGAACCUAGACCGGGGAAAGAACAAGAUUUUGGACUAAAUCGAAUUAAUUGUCCAUAUUUUGUACGGAGUAUCACCAAGCUUGCUCAAGGAUCGAAGGACGUCGUAGGCUCGAUCACACUAUCAAUUGGAUAUUUGGGUAUAGUUUGUUUCAACAUUUUGAGUAUGGCAUAUAUAGGGACUUGGUCUAUUUGUUAUGUGUCAUAUUGAUUAGUCAAAUGUGUUGGCUCAUGAAGGUAUUACGACUAUUUUGUAUAUGGCCAUGAGAGGUGGCUCGUAUUGAUUAUUAGGUUGUAACCCUAACUAUUGGUAUAUGCAUGCAAAUGUGCUUAGGCUUUAAUGUGGUUAUGGUUGCUUUUGGCUAAUGAAUGUGAUGGAUGGCAUGUAUGUUUGGUGUAUGAAAUAUGAUUUAAUGUGCAUGACAAUAAA